UACGUAGGGGCUAGCGUUGUCCGGAUUUAUUGGGCGUAAAGAGCGUGUAGGCGGCCAGGUAGGUCUGCUGUGAAAACUCGAGGCUCAACCUCGAGAUGUCGGCGGAAACCAUCUGGCUAGAGUCCGGAAGAGGAGAGUGGAAUUCCUGGUGUAGCGGUGAAAUGCGCAGAUAUCAGGAAGAACACCCGUGGCGAAGGCGGCUCUCUGGGACGGUACUGACGCUGAGACGCGAAAGCGUGGGGAGCGAACAGGAUUAGACUACCCGGG
rnacentral:rRNA from 1 species